AUGAGCAGACCCGCGGCACCGGCGGCUCUCCUGCUGAUCAUCCUCAUCAUUGCCUCCGGCGGGGUCGGCUUGGCCGCGCGGCCACUGGCGGGCGGAGGACGCGCCGCAAGGGAGCUCACGGGCGCCACCGACUCGUCGGCGCAGCCGUCCAAUUGCACCUACGGGCACAACACCGGCGGCCAGUGCCCUCCUAGCCCCGCCGCCCACAGUCAGGCUCGCGCGCGGCGCAUGGCAUGCAGAUGCAUGGGUGCACGUGCACGUGCACGUACCUUAUAUCCGUGCCAUGUCACAGGCUUGUAUGCACGUGCACCGAUCGUAAGGAGACCAACCCUCGACAAGACGGCCGUCAUCGGGGUUUGCUCCGGAGCUCAGGUUGCCGGCGACGGACGUAUAUACGGCUCUGCUACUUGGCAUGCAUCGGGAGCGGACCAAGACAAAGCCCAACGUAGGAUUGGGCCUAUGGCAACUGGGGCUAUAGCCAGUACUAUGGUGGUGGUGGAGAUGGCUAUGGUGAUGGAGAUGGCGGUGGCUAGGCUAGGCUAUGGCACCAGCAAGGAGCUGAAGCACAAUGGACAUGGCGAGGUUGCUCAUAUCAUCAAUAGAGCCCUAGAGGUUGCUGAGGUCCGCAUAGGUGGUGUAGCCUCCUUGUUGUGGCUGCUCUUGGGGCUGCUCCUCUUCCUCGUCGGUGACGAGGUCUUCCUCAUCAACUUGUUAGAGCCUUCUUGGUCAAAAGUUGCAUCUCCUUCCUGUGCAACAUAA
rnacentral:rRNA from 1 species